rnacentral:rRNA from 1 species
UGGGGAAUUUUGCGCAAUGGGCUAACGCCUGACGCAGCAACGCCGCGUGGAGGAUGAAGGUCUUUGGAUUGUAAACUCCUGUCAGCAGGGAAAAAGCGACUCAGCCUAAUACGCUGGGGAGUUGAUUGUACCUGCAGAGGAAGCACUGGCUAACUCUGUGCCAGCAGCCGCGGUAAUACAGAGAGUGCGAACGUUGUUCGGAAUUACUGGGCUUAAAGCGCACGUAGGCGGCAUCGUAAGUGUCAGGUGAAAUCCCACGGCUCACCCGUGGAACUGCCUGGCAGACUGCGAUGCUCGAGUGUGGUAGGGGAGAGCGGAACUCCUGGUGGAGCGGUGAAAUGCGUAGAUAUCAGGAGGAACACCGGUGGCGAAGGCGGCUCUCUGGUCCACAACUGACGCUGAGGUGCGAAAGCUAGGGGAGCAAA